rnacentral:lncRNA from 8 species
UCAACAACAUGGUCGGUCCUAGAGGAGGAAAUGAUGCUCUAACAGUCACACAACCCAACACACGUCUGUUCACAGGUAGCCAUGUAAACCCCAUUGGAGAUGUAGGUUUGAAGAGAAGCAGAGGAAAUCCUCCACCCAACCCAGAGAAGCCCUCUCCAGGUCAGCAGCAACAUUGGAGUACCCUACUACCUGACAGGCUGACUGGUGCUCCAGACAAAGGGUGUCCCCUACCAUCCAUCCAUCUAUAGGCCACAGGUGAGCUCUCUCAUACCGGGCAAACCAGACUUUCAAGUCUCCCACACUAACAUACACAUACAUAUUGGGCUGGGCUCCUCUCACCUGUGCAAAUAGAAUUGGCUAGGGUGAGAGAAAGAAAGAGAGCGCGAGAAGGUGAGAGAAAAAAAGAGAGGUGGGUGACAGACAGAGAGAGGGAGAAGAGAGAGAAGGAAAGAAAAAGAUAGUCAAAUGAAGAAGUCUGCCUGCCAUGUUACUCAGAAUCCCACAUAGCGGAGCAAACCCCCAGCAGCACAACACCUCACCUGGGCUCUCCUCCACCUUUCACUCCUUUGUUUUCGCUCUUAACCAACUCUCCCUCUCUUUCUAAUGCUGGCCGUACAGCCAUAGGGGUGUAGGUUCCACAUUUGAAAUGAAGAAUAUCAAAUAGAAAAGGACAAAAGGAAGGCAGAAAGAGUGAAAACGUCAUAUCUGUCUUUCUCACGCGCUCUCAUUCGCGCGCUCGCUCUCGCGCUCUCUCUCUCGUGCUCUCUCUCUCUUGCGCUCGCUCUCUCUCUCGCGCUCUCCCUCUCUGUCUCUGUCUCUCUUCCUCUGUCUGUCUCUUUUCCUCUCUCUGUCUCUGUCUGUCUGUCUCUCUGUCUCUCUCUCUCUCCCUCUGUCUGUCUGUCUUUCUCUGUCUCUCUCUCUCUCUCUCUCUCUGUCUGCAGGUUGGGACCUGAAAGACGUGCCAGACCCUCUGCCAAACGUCGUCCUCCACCUCGCCCUGCAGACAUUGGUAUAUACACACGCAAAACACACACACGCACAUGAAACACACACACAACAUGAAACAUACUAAUCUUCCUCAUUAACACACAUAGUUUCCAAAUUACACCCAUCUGUGCAUGCUUGCAAACACACACAUACACACACACACUCUUUCGACAUCAUUCACUCAUUCACAUCCAUACCCAUGUAAACACCUUUACUCCUUCACAGUCAAUCUCCCUCACACACACAAACAAACUGUUUUUCAUGGUUUGGGCUAGACCCCUUAGUUCCAGUGAAGGGAAAUAUUAACGCUACAGUAUACAAUUACAUUCUAGACUAUUCCGUGCUUCCAACAUUGUUGCAACAGUUUGGUGAAGGCUCUUCCCUGU